CAGAAAUCUCAAAGAGAUCUUUCCUUGCAAAUGUCUCUGCAUGGCUUACAGGACAGAAUAUGAGAAUAAUCCAGCACAAGACAGUGGGGACUGAAGAGGAAACCCGAAUCUAUUUACCAUUAAGAAGCCCUGUACUGAACUGACAGGAACAGAAUGUAACACUGCUCCAAAGUCUUGGCAUGCCAGUGUUGCCUUUGUGUAUUUGAAGUAUUUCCACUGGUCUUCGGAGUCCUGUCAUCCACCAAUGGUUA
rnacentral:lncRNA from 1 species